GCCGAAGUGGUGGAAUUGGUAGACACGCUGUCUUGAGGGGGCAGUGGUCGUAUGACCGUGUCGGUUCAAAUCCGACCUUCGGCA
rfam:Bacterium TMED178 isolate TMED178 MHASMcontig_312752, whole genome shotgun sequence.